UGAGAAAGUUCCAUUCUUAGGAUAUGC
rnacentral:piRNA from 1 species